AAACUUUCAGCAACGGAUCUCUUGGUUCUGGCAUCGAUGAAGAACGCAGCGAAAUGCGAUAAGUAAUGUGAAUUGCAGAAUUCAGUGAAUCAUCGAAUCUUUGAACGCACAUUGCGCCCGCCAGCACUCUGGCGGGCAUGCCUGUUCGAGCGUCAUUU
rnacentral:rRNA from 2 species